AUUGGAAUAAUGCGGAUUGUAAUUGAUAAAGGCAAAGCCGCGCGCCUGGUCGAUGAUGUGAAACAACGGAUUCCAGUCAAACAUCGCCAAGAGGGUGAAGGGCAGGGCAUUUGCCACGAACAUCUUGCCUGAGGCUAUCAUGUUCGCGCGCGUG
rnacentral:ncRNA from 1 species